UGAUGGGUAUUGAGGAGGGCACCUUUUGGGAUGAGCACUGGGUGUUGUAUGGAAACCAAUUUGACAAUAAAUUUCAUAUAUUAAAAAAUAAAAAAAAUAAAUAAAAUCUAAAGCUCUCUAAAAAAAAAAUCAUGUCAGUUCCUUGAAUUACUGAAUUACAAAUUCCUGUUCUUAUGUAAGGUUGCCACUUAAACCAGUCUUUCAUCAACAUUUAGAAUGAAGAACCAAUUUUCACUCCAAUUUAUUUCACCUGUAGAAAUUGUAACUUUUUUAAAAGUGAAGCACCAAUUUGUUAGGACUCUUAAUUUUUCAUUUAUUAAAUACAAAGAACAAUAAACUUUGUCCACUGUAUGGAUGUAACCACAUACGUGGCAAGAAAUAGCUGUCAGCUGUCAGCACAGAGCCUGACGCGGGGCUCUAACCCACGAGAUGUGAGAUCAUGACCUGAGCCGAAGUUGGAUGCUCAACCGACUGAGCCACCCAGGCCUUAAACCAUCCCAGAGUACAGCUGCCUACAGUGCAGAUGAUUCCAAGAAUUUGUCUUAACCAAUUCAGAGGCGGAGGGUGAGCCCCUGAGAGAUUGUUCUUUUUUUGUUUGUUUUUACUUAUUUCUUGUUUGGCCAGUGAGAUGUUUAAUUAUGUUUUAAUAUAAUUACACACACCUACUUUAGAACGGCAGUUCUCAAGGAGAUACUUCCAUGGACUCUAUGAAGCCUUCCUUCUUCCAAGUGCAUUAUCUGUGUGACCCUGGGUUUUAACAUACUUCAGCCAAACAGUGGAUCACAACAGCCUGAAUGCAGAGGCAGAUAGGAGAAUCCAGCUGUCCACUCUUAAGCCAAAAAUUAAAAAAGAUUUUAGGGGCCCCUGGGUGGCUCAGUCAGUUAAGCGUCUGACUUCAGCUCAGGUUGUGAUCUCACAGCUUGUGAGUUCGAGCCCCGCGUUGGGUUCUGUGCCGACAGCUCAGAGCCUGGAGCCCGCUUUGGAUUCUGUGUCUCCCUCUCUCUGCCCCUCCCCUGCUCACACUCUGUCUCUCUCUCUGUCUCCAAAAUUAAUAAACAUAAAAAAAGUUUAAAACACCCAAAAAUUAAAGGAGAUUUUCACAAAUAUAAGAUGCCCGUCUUUCCACUACAUUUGUGUAUUUUAAUAUAGUCAUUUUUCAUAAAAACAUGCUAUUUAUGUUAACAUGCAAAAUGUAAUUUUAAGUGAAUUAAUAUAUUUAAAAUUUCUGUUUUGAUUUCUAAUAUGAUAAAAUAUCAAUAGAUAUAACUGACACAAAUAAAAGCUCUUUGACGUCCUCAAUAUUUUUGAGAGCAUAACACUGGUCUUGAGAUCACAAAGUUUAAGAACUGAUGCCUUGGUGGGGGAGUCGGGGUGGAGGUGGCGCCCCGGUGGCUCAGUGAGUUAAGUGUCUGACUCUUGGUUUUGGCACAGUUCGUGGGAUUGAGCGCCGUGGCAGGCUCUGUGCUGACAGCAUGGAGCCUGCUUGGGAUUCUCUUUCUCCUCUCUCUGCCCUUCCCUACCCUCUCUCUCAUAAUAAGUAAAUAUUAAAAAUUUUUUUUAGUUAGUUAAUUAAAAAUAAAUUUUAAAAAGUACUGUUGCCUUAGAGAAUGCUUCUAUACCAAAAUGUCAGUUUAAUUUACAGUUUUUAAUCAUAAAAUGGUCAUCAAUUGAAAAAAAUAGUGCUGUGUUUUAUUUGGGUAGGAGUAAAAUAGGGAAGAUGAGACUGAUCCUGAACAGUGUUCAUUUUCUGGAUGGAAAGAGAGUGUGGCCUGAGCCAGCAUGCAGGUCCACAUGCAGAAGAGAAAUGAUACCACAGGAGCCACAUAACUCAGCACUGCUGACGUUCUCUCUGACCUUUUUAUUAUUCUGAAUUGAAAGGAGCUCCUAUUCUCACAUCUUGCAAACCAGUCUUUCUUUUUAAAACCUUUAUGCAAUGGUCAGAAGAGAUCUCUGCUUAGACCAGCUCCAACCGAACUGCAUAAAAUAAGAAAUGAGCAUAUAGGGCCGUCUGGGUGGCUCAGUCGGUUAAGUGUCUGACUUCGGCUCAGGUCAUGAUCUCCUGGUUCGUGGGUUCGAGCCCCGCGUCUGGCUUUGUGCUGACAGCUCGGAGCCUGGAGCCUGCUUCAGAUUCUGUGUGUGUGUGUGUGUGUGUGUGUGUCACAUGUACUUUCAGGAGGAUUGUAAUGAAGUUUAUAUAAAUGAUGCACUACAAUUUUUUUUUCAGGAAAAUUAAGAUUGUGUUUUGGAAACAUAACUGGCUGAUAAAAAGUAGGAUCUUUGCAGUUUUUAAUCAUAAUAACCACCUACAUUAUUAGAGUGCUUUGAAGUCCUCCAAUGAAUGAAAUCAAUGAAAGUAACUUCAAGUGUUCCAAGACGGUACUCACUCAAGUUAUGUUGUAAACAUAAUGAAAUGUGUAGGGUAAAGUAAAUAUGAUUGGAUUGGGUCACAUGCUUUGUGCAGUGUUCACGUUCAGUUUGUUCAUCACAGAAUGCUUAAUAGGUGUUUUAUAUAAUCAUCUGGCUCUAAGUACUGUACUUAUCUAAUGUAUUACUUUGAUAAUCAUUUGAGUAUUUCCAUUUUAAGGCAAUAAAUUAAAAUUCAGGCUUAAACUGCUGAACAUAUUUAAAAACAAAAAGUAUCUGUGCCCUGUAAUCUAUUAUUAAAAAUCUGUGUUGCUAUUUUGCAUGGAACAAAACUAGAUGAAAUCAGUGUUCCCUAGAAUAAGCUGUGAAAGUCAGCAUUCAAAGUUCUCAUGGAGUCUAGGUGUUCAAAAGAGUAGAUGAUACCCAGUAGUGUUUGCGUGUGGUGUGUGAUUUUGGGAAGAGAGUGAGUAGGGAUUAAUAAAAAUAUGUAAAAGCCAUGUUGAAUCAGACCAAAAAUCAGAUGAUCUUUUUGAAAAUAAAAAAAAAUCAUCAAAAAAGCCUACAAAAUGAAUGAUUGAUGUAGGGUUGAGGAAAGGCUAGAAGAGGUGGAGACAGUGGGGCCUGUCAUGUUAGCACACUUGUCAGCAUUGCUGGUUAGAGGCCAUGCGAUGGGAAGAGAGAAGGACAAGUUCAAGAAGUAUCAGCAGAACAUAGGAAUUGCACAAGGUUUAGUGAUUCUAAUAAGAAAAAUUAAAACUAAUAUAACAAUGGUAACAGUAUGUGUAUGAUUUUUUUUUUUAAAAUAGGCUUCGUGUCCAAUGCAAAGCCCAGUGCAGGGCUUGGUUGGGCUCACAACACUGAGAUCAAGACCGUGAGAUCAGUACCUGAGCUGAGAUCAAGAGUCGGAUGCUUAAACGACUCAGCCACCCAGGCGCACUGACUGUUUUUGGUCUUUUUAAGCACUUUCCGAAGCUUCAAUUAAAUUGUAGCUAAAAACAUUAGGUAUUGUUAUUUUUUAGAGUUGGGGAAAAUGAGGUACACGAAGCUUAAGUAACUCAUCUAAAGACACACACUGAAAAUAACCAUGAUGACACAUGAUCUUAACUCAUUUUAUCUUCAUAGCAGCUCUAAGAACUUAGUACUGUUAUCCCCAACUCACAGAUGGGGAAGCUAAUUGUGAGAGAAGUUGAAUAACUUGCCCAAGAUUGCACAGUUAAUAAGUGCCAGAGCUGGGAUUUUAAACUAGAUUGCCUGAGUCUGUGCUCUUAACCAGUAUGUUCUCCAUCCUGUGUGUUGUUUCUGUUAUUUUUGGAUAGACCAUCUUAACUUAGAUUUAAAAAAUAAUCCAAUACAGUACAAACAUUUGCAGUGGUGCCUAAGAUCUUAGCAGUGGCCCAGGGAGAUGACAGCAAAUCGUUCUUAUUGCCAGGCUUAUGUUUUUGUCUCAUUCUUAUCUUUGAAGUUAAAUUAUUUUUAGUCGGUCCCUAGAAACUGUAACGUGACUGUGUCAGGGCACUUAUUAAUUAGUAUUGAGGAGUUUUUUCUCGUUAGAAAUACAUAACGAUAAAUGCUAGCGUUCUUUGGAUAGGAGGAUUAUUAUUUCUACACAUAUUUGAGGAGUUGGGAUAAAUAGGCAAAAAUCAAUUUUUGUGGCCCUUUGUGAAUAUCAGUCUGUACAGCAAAAAGUAUAUCCACCAUGUUUGUUGGCCUGCCUAUAAAAUUAAUAUGGAAUGGAUUUGGUCAUUAAAUUAUUGUUACUUAGAAGACGAGAAAAUACCCUUCUGGGAAUCAAAUUAAAUCUGUAACUAUGGCACUUUUCACUUGCCUUGAAUGACUUCCCUGGAAAUCAGAAGCCUUGUGUUCCGCUUCUAGCACCAUCAUCAAUGUUACCUUUGGUAAAUCAUUUAAACAUGCUAAACGUAUGUUCCAUUUGGCACUGGGAAUGCCAUAUGCUCUCAUGUUGCCUAAAUGCGAUUUUGCAAAAAGUGAAAUUGAUUUUAAAAGAGGAAUAUGCACAGCGAUUCUAUCACCUGUUAAGCAGAAUGCAUUGUGUGCUUCAUAAAUCUAAUAAGAGAAUAGAUGAUAGUUUGGAACUUAAAAAAAAAAAAGACCUCUUUAGUUUUAUAGGUUUCAGAAUUCAGCUUAAUUUUGCCUUAAAACUAUUCUUACUGUUAACAUCUAGUGCUUUUAAAAAAUCAGCCAAGAUAUCUUUGGACAUUUACAUUCUUUUUCUGUUCACAAAUGUCAUUAACUUGAAAUAUAAAGAUGCUUUCUAAGGAAACUGGUCUGCCUAGCCAGAUCUUUUAAUGUAGUUAUUUUGCGAUCUGAGCUGCAAAACCCAAACACGGAGGCUGCCUUCCACAAUGCCUUGUUGCCCAGACAGUGAUGUCAUGUUUUAAGCAUGUUUAGUUUGCAAAGGUCCUGCUUUUGAUCCGUUAGUUGUCACUUUUUUUAUGCAGCUCCUCCUGAAUUACAAAGGUACUGAGAGUAAUUUGCUUCAUUAAGGUCUGUUGCUGACACUGUUGUAUUUCAUUCCUCAUUCUUCUCCUCGCCUCCUUCAUUAAGACCUUAUUCAAAUUUGGAUCCUGGUUCUACUGCGACAUCCACGCCAUUAUCAUCUAAAUAGCAAUUACAUAUUCAAAAACAACAGCUUCUCCUUAACUGUCUGUAACUUAACAUUUUACAUAGAUUCAAGUGGGAAUUAAGAGUAAAAUGAAUCUUUUCUUCGUGAUUUACAACCCUCCCUUUCACCCUUGAUUUACUAGUUAAUGUUGAAUAAGCUGCUUGUAGACGAAGGAAGACAAAAUUAUUGAUUGCUCAGCUUGAGUUUGUAGAGGUAUAUGUAUUAUAAAUUGUUUCUAUACUAAACAGGCACCCAAAGGACAGAGACCCUGAUUUAAUCACCCACAUAUUUGCUAGACAGCAUUUACCAUUUUGGAUAUAAUGGGACCAGGUUUAAUGCUCUAUUAAGGAAUUAAUAGUUAUCUUUUACAAACUGCAUGCUUUAUAACUUGAAACAUUUAAAGGAAACCUUUUAAAAUGAGUCCAUAUAUUUGUCCUUUGUAGGAUAGAACUCAAAAGUAGAUGCAAAUUCUACUACUAAUAUAACAAUAUGCUUUCCUAUGUUUUGGCCAUCUUAAAAUUUUAUAGUAAGUACACGCUAAGCUGAUUUGACUGAAAUGAAUACCCAUGGAGACAAAGUGUUUCAACAGAUACAGUGGGCAUAAAUAUUAGGAUUUUUUUUUUUUGCCAUUAAAUGCGGUUAAAAGAAAGAAUGCAAAAUACCAAAUACACAUGUGUAUAUUGUGUAAUACAAAUAUAGGCAGUUAUGGAUCUCUUUUAUGAAUUUCUUAACCAGCAGAGAGAGACUGUGUGUGGGUUUGGGAGGGAGGGAGGGAGAAGUGAGGUGAAGGUAAGAGAAGGGGAGAGGAAACAGAGCCCUAACCUUAAAAAUGCUAAUUAACUUGGGGUGCCUGAGUGGCUCAGUUGGUUAAGCUUCCAACUUUGGCUCAGGUCACGACCUCACAGUUUGUGAGUUCGAGCCUCAGGCCCUGGGCUGACAGCUCAGAGCCUGGGGCCCGCUUCAGAUUCUGUGUCUCCCUCUGUCUGCCCUUCCGCUGCUUGCAUGCUGUCUCUCACAUUGUCUCAAAAAUAAAUAAACAUUUAAAAAAAUGCUAAUUAACUAUUCAAUACCCUGUCUUUUGGCACCUUGCAUAAUAAUUCCUCACCUAUUUUACAAAUUUCUUAUCAUGAUUAAGGAAUGUUCUUUCCUAUUUGUCUGAAAUGAACCUCUAUUUUUUUGUUUCUCUAUCCAUAUUCUCAAAUUUAUCAGAAUUAUAUAUGUGUGAAUACUGAUAUCAUGCUCGAGGUUACUUGCAAUGUAGAUUUAAGUGAUACUAACUUGUGUGGAUGUGAACAGUGGAAACUGGCUCAGUUGUGGUCUUAACCAAUGAGAGUCCGGAAGACUUACCCUUUGUUUACCUCACCAUCUUUUGUGAAGAUAAGCCCUGAGGGUAAGCUGGAUUGGCCAGAGGUCAGUGUUCAUUUCAAAAAUCACCAACCAAGUUGGGUAGAAUGCUGUAAAACAAAGCAGAAGAAACUCUAGAGAGAAGGUGAACGAACCAUUGGGAGACUUAGAGCUGGCAGAUCAGGCACUGAGUCUGCAGGGACAAAGCUAGGUGUGUAGGUUAACUAGAGUUUGCUUAGAAAUCGUUUGUCCCAAACAAGGGUCUGUUGAUGUGUCCCUAUAUUACAUUUUGUAAUGCUGUCUUGUGACCAGCUGGAGUUAAGGUCAUUAAAGUGAUAGAUCUGACCAGAUAUUAUUGUUGCCUCUUGCUUAUGCUGUCUUAGUCCCUUUGGGCUGCUAUCGCAAAAAUACCAUAAACCCGGCGGUCUGUUUUGAGUAAUUUUUGUAUAAAGUGUUAGACCUAAGUCAAGGUUCUUUCUUCUUUUCCUUUUUUUUUUUUGUUUUCUUUUUGUUUUGUUUUUGUUUUUGUUUUUUUUUUUGGGGGGGUAUUGGCUACAAAUAUCCAAUAACAAUGUUGCUUUUAAUGGUAAAACAAAGUAAAGCACAUGUUCAUCAUCAGAAUAGAUCUAUAAUCUGUGGUUUAUUUGUACAAUGCACUUUCAUAUAAAAACAAAGCAACUCAAGGUACAUGCAGCAAUAUGGAUAAAUCCCAGAUAAAUAAAUGAUGUGGAAUGAGAAAUGCGAAUUGCUAAAGAGUAUUGUAUAUACAUUGUCAUUGUGAUUCCACUUAUAUGGUUCUGAAACAUUAAACUAGGGAUAUAAACAAAUAUGGUAGCACUAUUAAAACAGAGAAUAAGGAACACAGAAUUUAGAGAGAAUUUACCUCUCAAGUGGGGGGAAGGGAGAGUGAGAUAGGGCGACUUCAUGGUUAACCAUAAAUUCUAUUUCUUAAAUUGAGUGGUGGGUAUGUGGGUGUUCACUUUGUUGUCAUUCUGAAAAUGUUUUCUUUUUAAAGAUUGUAUGUUCUGUUUGUUGCCAGUAUAAAAACAUGUAGAUUUUUGUGGCAACCAUCUUGAUGAAAGUUUUAAUUCUAAUAAUUUAGGUUCUUCUGGAUUUUCUAAGUAGGUAAUCAUAAACAUUAAAUAAUUUCAGAGUUUUGUUUCUUUCCAAUCAUUAAGGCUUUUAUUUUUUAUCUCAUUGAGUUAUCUAGGAUCUCUGACAAGUAUGUUGAAAUGGAAAGCAAGCAUCUUUUUUCCAUUUUUGAUUGUGAAGAGAAUGCUUAUAAUGUUUAUGGGGUUCAACUAGUAAAUACAGUAUAUACUGUUUAUCAGGUUACUCUUAAUUUGUUUUUUUUUUAUUAUAAAUUGGCAGUGUUAUCAAAUGCCUUUUUUUAGAUCCCUUGAUCAAGUAACUUUUUGCUUUAAUCCUUAAUGUAUAAACAACUUUGCAUUCCUCAAGUAAAGUCAAAGUAUAUUUUAUUUUUGAUAUUUUUAAAAAUAAAUUAUUGGAUUCGCUUAGCUUAUAUUUGGCUUGAGAUUUUUGCAACACAUUUUUAUGAGUGAGAUUUGUAAUUUUCCUAUCUUGUGCUGUCUUUGAAAAGUUUGGUUAAGGGUUACAUUAGACUCAUUAAAUGGAGUGGGAAGUGUUCCUUAUUUCUAAACAAUUUGUUGGAAAAAAUUGUAUAACAUUUGAUUUUAUUAGAAUUCACUUGCAAAAUUUUCUGGGCCUGGUGUUUCCUUAGUGGGUAGAUUUUUAUCUACUGAAUGAAUUUAUUAAUAAUUAUUGACUAGUCUAUGGAGUCAAUAUGGUUAAGUUAUAGUUUCAAUGGAGAUUGCUCAUUUAAAAAAAAAAUUCACAAUUUAUUGCCAGAGACAUUUUAAAAUAACAUCUUUUUUUUUAAAUCUCCGGGAUUUUUGUUGUUAUGUUGGAUUUCUCUCCCGAAUAUUGUUUGCUUUUUCCUUUGCUAUUUGCUUAGUCUUUUCAAAGAUUGACUUCAGAAUUUAUGGUCCUCUUUAUUGCAUUGUUAUAUCCUAUUUCAUUGUUCUUUUGUUUCUAACUAAAAUUUUUUUCAUUUUCUUUGGGAUUUAUUUUGUUAGUCUCAUUCUGACUUCUUAGGCUGGUUGCUUACUUUAGGCUCAUCAAUUUUUAGCUUUUUAAUAUUCUAAUAUAUUCAUUAAAAUGCUCUGUAUUUCCCUUCAAAUGCAAAUUAGCAGCCUCCAAAUUUAAUUUGUAUUAUUUCCACUAGUUUUCAGUUUUAUAUAUUUUUCACUGUCUAUACUUCAUUGCUGAGUUGUUUAAAAAUAUUUUAAGAUUUCCAAGUAUAUGAGAUGUUUUGUUUUGGUUAUAUUUUUGGUGAAGGUUUUUAAUUUAAUGCAUUGUGGUCAGAGAAUGUGGGCCAAAUGAUAAUCUUUAAAUGUGUUGAGAUUUAAUUCACAGCCUAGUACAUGACAUUUAUAGAAUAUUUUGGGAGGAAAGGGAUAAUUUUUAACUUUUGUGAGGAUAAAUUCUAUUUUGAUGGAUUUUUAUAUUCCACUUACCUUUUUAGUACUUUAGAGUAUGAAGAGCUUGGAAGAAAUUUCUGUUGUUACAAAAGCUGUUUUU